rnacentral:rRNA from 1 species
UACGUAGGUGGCAAGCGUUGUCCGGAUUUACUGGGUGUAAAGGGCGUGCAGCAGGGCUGACAAGUCAGAUGUGAAAUCCCGCGGCUCAACCGCGGAACUGCAUUUGAAACUGUCAGUCUUGAGUACCGGAGAGGUCAUCGGAAUUCCUUGUGUAGCGGUGAAAUGCAUAGAUAUCACGCAGAACUCCGAUUGCGAAGGCAGCGUACCGGCGCCAGACUGACGCUGAGGCACGAAAGCGUGGGGAUCGAACAGG